UACGUAGGGUGCGGGCGUUAAUCGGAAUUACUGGGCGUAAAGCGUGCGCAGGCGGCCUCUUAAGUCAGAUGUGAAAUCCCCGGGCUUAACCUGGGAACUGCGUUUGAAACUGGGAGGCUAGAGUGUGGAAGAGGGGGGUGGAAUUCCAGGUGUAGCAGUGAAAUGCGUAGAGAUCUGGAGGAACACCGAUGGCGAAGGCAGCCCCCUGGGCUGACACUGACGCUCAUGCACGAAAGCGUGGGGAGCAAACAGG
rnacentral:rRNA from 1 species